GACGAACGCGGCGGCGUGCCUAAUACAUGCAAGUAGAACGCUGAAGGAGGAGCUUGCUUCUCCGGAUGAGUUGCGAACGGGUGAGUAACGCGUAGGUAACCUGCCUGGUAGCGGGGGAUAACUAUUGGAAACGAUAGCUAAUACCGCAUAAUAGCAGUUAUUGCAUGAUAACUGUUUGAAAGGUGCAAUUGCAUCACUACCAGAUGGACCUGCGUUGUAUUAGCUAGUUGGUGGGGUAACGGCUCACCAAGGCGACGAUACAUAGCCGACCUGAGAGGGUGAUCGGCCACACUGGGACUGAGACACGGCCCAGACUCCUACGGGAGGCAGCAGUAGGGAAUCUUCGGCAAUGGACGGAAGUCUGACCGAGCAACGCCGCGUGAGUGAAGAAGGUUUUCGGAUCGUAAAGCUCUGUUGUAAGAGAAGAACGAGUGUGAGAGUGGAAAGUUCACACUGCGACG
rnacentral:rRNA from 1 species